GACAGAGGAUGCAAGCGUUAUCCGGAAUGAUUGGGCGUAAAGCGUCUGUAGGUGGCUUUUUAAGUCCGCCGUCAAAUCCCAGGGCUCAACCCUGGACAGGCGGUGGAAACUACCAAGCUGGAGUACGGUAGGGGCAGAGGGAAUUUCCGGUGGAGCGGGUGAAAUGCGUAGAGAUCGGGAAAGAACACCAACGGGCGGAAAAGCACUCUGCUGGGCCGACACUGACACGAGAGACGAAAGCUAGGGGAGCGAAUGGG
rnacentral:rRNA from 1 species